GAUCCUGGCUCAGAAUCAACGCUGGCGGCGCGCCUAACACAUGCAAGUCGAACGAGAAAGUGGAGCAAUCCAUGAGUAAAGUGGCGUACGGGUGAGUAACACGUGGAUCAUCUGCCUUCUAGUGGGGAAUACCGUUGGGAAACCGACGACAAUACCGCAUAAGCUCGAGAGAGGAAAGCCGAAAGGCGCUGGAAGAGGAGUCCGCGGUCGAUUAGCUAGUUGGUGAGGUAAUGGCUCACCAAGGCUGUGAUCGAUAGCCGGCCUGAGAGGGCACACGGCCACACUGGCACUGAAACACGGGCCAGACUCCUACGGGAGGCAGCAGUGGGGAAUCUUGCACAAUGGGGGAAACCCUGAUGCAGCGACGCCGCGUGAGCGAUGAAGCCCUUCGGGGUGUAAAGCUCUUUCGGCAGGGAAGAUUAUGACGGUACCUGCAGAAGCAGCUGCGGCUAACUACGUGCCAGCAGCCGCGGUAAUACGUAGGCAGCAAGCGUUGUUCGGAGUUACUGGGCGUAAAGGGUGCGUAGGCGGUCCUAUAAGUAUGGUGUGAAAUCUCCCGGCUUAACUGGGAGGGUGCGCUAUAGACUGUGGGACUAGAGUGUGGGAGAGGAAAGUGGAAUUCCUGGUGUAGCGGUGAAAUGCGUAGAUAUCAGGAGGAACACCGGUGGUGUAAACGGCUUUCUGGACCAU
rnacentral:rRNA from 1 species